GAAUGCUUGCUUUGAUUCAAACUUGAAACCAUGGAUUUCUGUUUGUGCUUAAAAAAAAUUAAUUGUCUUGUGGUAGGGGUUGGGAAAAUGUUACUGUGUAAAAUUAUUGCCCCCUAUUUGUAAUGUUUUUUUUCUUUUAUAUUGGGGGAUGGCUAGGGUUUCAAAUAGAUGUUUAUCGAUGGAAAGGGAAGGAAUCAAAAGUGUUUUAACUUCUGCAAUAAAACUUGUCCAUUUUGUGAAACAAUUG
rnacentral:lncRNA from 1 species